GUGGGGAAUAUUGGACAAUGGGCGAAAGCCUGAUCCAGCCAUGCCGCGUGUGUGAAGAAGGUCUUCGGAUUGUAAAGCACUUUAAGUUGGGAGGAAGGGCAGUAAGUUAAUACCUUGCUGUUUUGACGUUACCGACAGAAUAAGCACCGGCUAACUUCGUGCCAGCAGCCGCGGUAAUACGAAGGGCGCAAGCGUUAAUCGGAAUUACUGUGCGUAAAGCGCGCGUAGGUGGUUUUGUAAGUUGGAGGUGAAAUCCCCGGGCUCAACCUGGGAACUGCAUCCAACACUACUGGGAGAGAGUACGGGUGAGGAAGGUGGAAUUUCCUGUGUAGCAGUGAAAGGCGUAGAUAUAGGAAGGAACACCAGUGGCGAAGGCGACUACCUGGACUGAUACUGACACUGAGGUGCGAAAGCGUGGGGAGCAAACAGGAUUAGGUACCCCGGUAGUCC
rnacentral:rRNA from 1 species